rnacentral:snoRNA from 1 species
UGCAGACGAUGCAAAAGAAUAUUUGCUAUCAGAAACAUGGUGAUGACAGUUAAACCACCAAGAUCACCGACACCUUUCUGAGUGCCCUCAGGUGCA